rnacentral:rRNA from 1 species
UACAGAGGUCUCAAGCGUUGUUCGGAUUCAUUGGGCGUAAAGGGUGCGUAGGUGGCGCCGUAAGUCAGGUGUGAAAUUUCGGAGCUUAACUCCGAAACUGCAUUUGAUACUGCGGUGCUUGAGGACUGGAGAGGAGACUGGAAUUCACGGUGUAGCAGUGAAAUGCGUAGAUAUCGUGAGGAAGACCAGUGGCGAAGGCGGCUUUCUGGGCCUUACCUGACGGCUGAGA